rnacentral:hammerhead_ribozyme from 1 species
AUCCAGCUGACGUGUCCCAAAUAAGACGUAACAUGCGUCCUGGUU